GGGGGCGUUUGGAUUCGACGGGGUUGAGGGUGAGAGAGGCUGCAUGCCGAGGUGCCACCAACCUCGUAAAACAGGUGGCAAAAAACAACUGCCGACGCGAACUACGCUCUGGCGGCAUAAUUUGAGCCGCCACGUCCUCUUCCGGGUCUCCCCGCUACCUGGAAGAAGGGCGUCAUGAGAGCGGGGUGCCCUUCCUCUUUUCUCCCCGGGAGGAAGGUAAGAUCGAGGGGAGGGAACCCUCACAGAAUCCGGUCCCGGGGAGUCUGUGGGGGUAAAAAACCGGGACUAAGCAUGUAGAGGCCUCUCAGGCCCCUUCUCCGGACGCGGGUUCGAGUCCCGCCGCCUCCAUUU
rnacentral:tmRNA from 1 species